UCCCAUUUCCCUAUUGUGUGGCUACCGCCUGCAGAAUUCUGGGAAAUGUAGUUUAGGGAAGCUGAGGACCUUUCCAGCUGAGAAUUCCAAAGGCUCCACCCUAAACUAUGUUUCCCAGAAUUCUACAGGAGGCAGCCACAUGUCAGGGAAGUGGGAGGACCCGAUUUAAAGUGCUGAUGUUAAACUUUUCCUCGCAAUCCCUUUUGGCCCAAGAAAUAUGUACAUGUCCCCAGAUGGAACCUCAGCAUUCCUUAUAACUGGCCAUCCUGAUUGGGAGGAAGUCCUCAAAAUCUAGAGAGCAUCAAGUUGGAAAUCUCUGAUCUAGGACAUUGGGAAGUUGUAAAAAAAUUUAACCUACACCUAAAAAUCCCAAAGGCACCAGACUCUGUGUCAUUUUGGAAGGUGGAGGAACCAGAACUUAUUAAAUACAAGAAUCAGUGGCAUAAAACUUCAUUUACAAGAGUAUAUGAAGAUGGCAUUACAUCACCAAAUAUAUGUUGCGAUCAUCUU